ensembl:misc_RNA Metazoa_SRP Metazoan signal recognition particle RNA
GCCGGGCAUGGUGUCACGUGCCUGCAGUCCCAGGCUCAAGCAAUUACGAGGAGCGGGGGGCGCGGGGCUGACUUGGGAGGAUCGUUUGAGCCCAGGGGUUCUGGGCUGUAGUGCGCUAUGCCAAUCGGGUGUCCGCACUAAGUUUGGCAUCAAUAUGGUGACCUCCCGGGGGUGGGGGACCACCAGGUUGCCUACAGUGGGGUGAACCCGCCCAGGUGGGAAACCGAGCAGGUCAAAACUUCCGUGCUGAAAAGGACUCGCACAGAGGCAAAGACACCUGUGGUCUUUGUUUCGUAAGAAAGUUCUCUUCCUAGAA